UACUGCAACGUAGGUAGGAGCGUAUUUUCUUAAAAAUUACGUAUUUUGAAAACUGGACGGGAUUUUAUUUAUAAUUGGCAUGUGAAGGGUUGACCUAUAGAUCAAAAUCUACAAGAAAAUGUCCUUUUCCGAAUUUUUGGUUAAAGGUCAAAGAUUCCAAAGAAAAAGGAAAGCAGCUUUUUAUGUAGUGGUUCAAUCUUGAAAAUUCUUGUCGUUUCUCCAAAAUCUAUAAGAAAAGGUCAACCUGAUAAAUUCGGGGUACGUUUCCUUUUAAAACUUUAGAGGAAGAGAAACUUCUGCCAUUUAUGAAACUAAGAAAAUAUCAUUCCGGGUGCUGUUCAAAAAGUUUUCCUUCCUCAAUUGACCAUUUAUUAUGAAAAAUCGUGGCAAUAAUUAGUUUUACCGUAGCAUCAUGUAUUAUAUAAUGAUAAUAUAGACGCGUGGUCAAAUGACUUGCAUCUGUUUGUCCUUAUCAACAUUGCACUUACAUAAGAUUAUGAAUGUACGUGGUUCAUUUGCGAAUGAAUCGCCAGUGCGUGCGGUUGUAUGUAUGUACAGCGUUCGUGUGAUACUUGUUUAUAUUCCGCGUGAAAAGGGUGAGUUUUGUUUAGCUUUAUGAAAGGUUGGGUGGUCCAUCGAGACACUGUCCUUGCAAAUAAAUAAAUCAAAAUACGUUCGGACAGGAAAACAUUUUUGAUUUUAAUGAUCACAUUGGAAUCAAGUAAGUUCCUUUCAAAAUUUAAUGCUUUAAUGCCAAAUGGUAUCAUGUGAUAUGUCAUUUAAUUUCUAAUUCUCUAGUAAAACCGUAGUUUUGAUUUCUGCUGUAAUGGACCAAGGGUACAAUAUUAUAGAAUAUAAAUUAUCAGAAUUUUAUUUAGUGGCAAUAUCUAAGCUGCUUUCCAGUUUGGUGGUUUUUGGUGUCUGUCACAUUAGUUGUAUACUUUUCAUCUUGAUUUUCUUGUGUUUGUUUAUUCCCCGGCAAAUCCGAUGAUGGAAACUUGAAAUUCAUCCAGGCAGGUUUAAGCUGUUCCCGAAAUUCCCUUACUAUGAAAUAUUGUGUAUUAGUUAUAAGUUUGACGGUAAAUCAUUUUUGCAAUAAAAGUUUAUUGAAUAAAUGCUGUAAUUUACAAUUAACGUAAACUGAGGACAACUGUAUUCGCGUACUUAACGUUCUCCCCACGGAGUGAAAUCAUUCCUUUCUUAACUUCUUCUAAAUUUUCCAAUAAUUAAUAAACCUUUCAUCUUAUUCUGCUUUUGUACCAAGUCCUUUACAUUUUAAAUUUGUUCUCAUAUUCUACUGUACGUUCUCCAAUCAUCAUUUUUCUUUUAUUUCCUAUUAUUACCAUUGAUUUAAUAUUUUAUUCAAUGCUUUUACAUAUGGCCGAACUGUUGGCUUGCUACAUGGGGAAGGGGGCCACCCUGUUUCAACGAAAUAACCAAAUGGUGAAAUCCACUGCGACAAUAUUAAACUCCCAGCAACAAUUACAAAAACAUCUUCGAUUUAUCCCGACCUAGGGAGUUCCACCUUGAACGGAAAAAUUGGGUUAGCGUUAGGGAAUGGCGUUUCCAAACUUACAAGCAGCAACAUUUUAUGAAGAAGUUAUUGCAAUGUGACGAAGGUCUCAGUCGUCAAGGUGAUCAUAUUGUUCCUCUAAUAUAACAGCACAUACUUCAGCUUCACUUCGAGUAGGACCUUUAGUAGCAACUUGAAGGGCAAAUCAUUUGCGAUGGAGUCGCCUGUGAGAGCGGUUGUACAUAUUCCGUUAGUAUGAAGCGCGUUUCUUCCACAUGGACAGGAGUCAAUCCACUUCAAUUGUCAACGACAUUUUUGAGACAGAGGCCGUAGAAUAAUCGCAAUACUGUUCGAGAAGUACAAACGUUCUUGUGUGAUUUCUAAUUAAAACUGGAGAUAGCCAACACCACUCUAGAACGGAAUACAGGGGUGUAAUUUAGUGGUUUCUAUUCGUCAGAAAAUGUCACUACGUUUUCACUUGGGGAUCCUAAUUAAACCACCACCAACACCACAUUGACAUGGAGUACAGGUUAACUCACUUGGAUUGUCACCGAUUUUUUAGGAAUGGACGGGUAAGGCCAUGGAAUGAUCCCAGUGCUGUCCGAGAACUACCCUAAUUGGUAGAUAAGGUCAUCGCGUUUUCAUAUGGGAUUCUCAAUAUAGGAUGGUAAUCAUAGUUGGCGGUGACAUUUUUAAAAAGUGC